GUGUUAUGACAAAAGAGGGAAUUUUAGCAACCCCUAGGAUAAGGACAAACGUGGUCCUAGUAGCCUUUUUCAACACAAUAAUUUCAAGGCAAUGGUUUUCAAUAGAAUGAUUU
rnacentral:ncRNA from 1 species